CCACGACCAAACCAAUUUAACCCACCAACACCACCGGCCACCACCUACAUCAGCCACCACAAACAUGUCAACAUUAACCACAACCACCAUAGACACCAACCAGUCAACAUUAACCACAACAACCCAUUUCUCAUCAUUUUUUCUCUCUAUGUCCACAGAUAAACACAAACAGAGACGGAUUUAAAGGGGGGGCUGGGCUGAGCUGGGCUGUAGCCCCCCCUCCUCAGGCCAAGAGUUUUUUUUAAGGUAUUUUUUAUUUUAUUUUUUUGGUAGUGUGUAAAAUUUUUUUUUCCACACUUAUUAGCUCGAUUUGAAAUUUUAUAGCCCGGUCUUGGAUCAUCCGUGCAUGAAUGAAUAAUUGAAUAUCUUCUUCACCAAAAUCAACCCAUUUGCUUUUUGUAGAUCUCAAUCUCGAACCAUUCAUGGAGGAGCUGCAAUAAGAAGAUGUACCCAUCAAUUCGGCGAACCCAAAUGUGUCGGCGGUGGAAUUAGCCUACACCUCGAUUGGCUUUUUUCCCUGUUUCAACAGAUUAAAUGAAAUCUUCCACAUAUUUACUAUCAAUUGUUUACAAUUUUUUUCCUGCUUUUUCUGAAAUUAUACAUGAAUAUUAGUGUGUUUGUAUAGCCUAUAUUACGUUGUCAACUGUGGAUGUGAAAUCGAACAUAUGAAGGUGUGGUUUGGUUUUAAUUUGGGCAUUGGGUUUUAGGUUGGUGAUGACGGGUGGUGGCCGGAUUGUUAGUUUUUUCUGGGUUUGGUUUCG
rnacentral:lncRNA from 1 species